rnacentral:rRNA from 1 species
GAUGAACGCUGGCGGCGUGCCUAAUACAUGCAAGUCGAGCGAACAGACGAGGAGCUUUUUCCUUUACCGUUAGCGGCUGACGGGUGAGUAACACGUACGUAACCUACUUCUUUGUCUUGGGUAACUUCGGGAAGCCGCAUAUACUACCGGCUAAUAUUUCCUACCGCAUGAUUCGAUGGUUAUAGAUGGCUUUGCUGUUUCUUAUAGAUGAUGCUGCGCCGGAUUAGCUAGUUGGUAAGGUAACGGCUUACCAAGGCGACGAUACGUAGCCGACCUGAGAGGGUGAUCAGCCACACUGGAACUGAGACACGGUCCAGACUCCUACGGGAGGCAGCAGUGGGGAAUAUUCGGCAAUGGGCGAAAGCCUGACGCAGCAACACCGCGUGAGUGAAGAAGGCCUUCGGAUUGUAAAACUCUUUUAUUAGGAAAGAAAAAACGUAGGUGAAAAUGUGGAUGUUCUGACGGUACCUAAACAAUAAGCAACGGCUAACUUCGUG